AUGACACCAACUCUUCAGUGAAAUUCUGAAAUUGCAGGAGCAGCAAUGCAAUCUGAAGUGUGUGUCCUUUCUAUUGGAGUUAGUCACACA